AAAGAUUUAGUUAAAAAAUAACAUUAGAAUGUCAACCUAAAAUUACUUAAAGUAAUCUUUU
rnacentral:tRNA from 1 species